UACGGAGGGUGCAAGGCGUUAAUCGGAAUUACUGGGCGUAAAGCGCACGCAGGUGGCUGAGUCAGUCGAUUGUGAAAGCCCUGGGCUUAACCUGGGAAUUGCAGUCGAUACUACUCAGCUAGAGUAUGGGAGAGGGUAGUGGAAUCCCGGUGUAGCGGUGAAAUGCGUAGAUAAUCGGGAGACAUCAGUGGCGAAGGCGCU
rnacentral:rRNA from 1 species